rnacentral:rRNA from 1 species
UCUCGGCUCUCGCAUCGAUGAAGAACGUAGCGAAAUGCGAUACUUGGUGUGAAUUGCAGAAUCCCGUGAACCAUCGAGUCUUUGAACGCAAGUUGCGCCCGAAGCCUUCUGGUUGAGGGCACGUCUGCCUGGGCGUCACGCAU